rnacentral:rRNA from 1 species
CCUACGGGGGGCUGCAGUGAGGAAUAUUGGUCAAUGGGCGCGAGCCUGAACCAGCCAAGUCGCGUGAGGGAGGACGGCCCUACGGGUUGUAAACCUCUUUUGCCGGGGAGCAACGGGCGCCACGUGUGGCGUCACGGAGAGUACCCGGAGAAAAAGCAUCGGCCAACUCCGGGCCAGCAGCCGCGGUAAUACGGAGGAUGCGAGCGUGAGCCGGAUUGAUUGGGUUGAAAGGGUGCGUAGGCGGAUCGUUACGUCAGUGGUCACAUUGGGGGGCUCAACCCCUUCCCGCCAUUGAAACUGGCGUUCUUGAGUGGACGAGAAGUAUGCGGAAUGCGUGGUGUAGCGGUGCAAUGCAUAGCUAUCACGCAGAACCCCGAUUGCGAAGGCAGCAUGCCGGCUUCCGACUGACGCUGAAGCACGAAAGCGUGGGGAUCGCACAGGAUUAGAUACCCCGGUAGUC